rnacentral:lncRNA from 1 species
UUGUUUUUGGGUCAUUUCAGAUUUAUAGAAAAAAAUUCAAAUAAUUCUAGGUUUUCGGUUUAAAUAUUGACUAAUUCGGAUUGUUCAAAUAAAAAUAUUAAAUAAUUUUUUAUUACUAUUUCGAAUUAAAAAAUCUGGGUAAAUCAUUUUUGGUUAUUAAGUUUAUAAAUAGUAUUUUUGUGAUAUUUGGUUAUUUAGAAAUUAAAUAUGAUUAACAUUUGUAGGUAUAUAAAUUGUACUUAAAAUUUUUGGGCAUCCAUUGAUUCUUGGUUCAGUUUCCCUUUUUUUGGUUUCACAUAUAUAGGUUUCACUCGGUUAUUUAUGAAAUUUGGUUCGUUUUUGUUUUUGUUUUUUUUUCUGGUUCCAUACAGCUCAGUUUCUGUACAAUAUCUUAUAUUGCAAUUUAUACCAAAAAAAGAUUUAAUUUUAAAGAUAAAACUGCGCUUUCUAAGCGCGGGUCAAAAUAUAGUGGAUUGUUAAAUAGAGAGGAUGAGAAAGCUCGUGGAGCUCACAACUCAGCAUUGAUAACAAUGUUACAGCUUUCAAAAAUGUUCUUCAAAUCAUAUAUAUGAGAUAUUAUAAUUUUUAUUAAACUAACUAUCAAAUUGAUUAUUUAUGUACAAAAAAUAUGAUUUCUUUCCUUAAAUAAAAGCUACAAAAUUACAUAAUAUAAUUAACAUAUAUAUAACAAUUAAUGAUUAUUAAUAAUAUAUAUUUGAUAACAUUUUUUGUAUCUUUUUUUUUGUUUAAUUUUAUAUUAUUACGGAAUUUAACCAUUCAUAUAAUAAAAAAUUAGAUUUUUUUCUUAUAUAUUAUAUUUUGUAUUUCUUAAAAAUGACUAUAAAUUACUAAAAAUAGUAAAGUCUCACAUUGAAAAUUUUGUGAUCAAUGAUUUAACUUUUUUUAUUCAAGAAAGAUACAAAUGAUCAUAAAUCGUAUGAAUAUGAAGUCUCAU